AGGACGAACGCUGGCGGCGUGCUUAACACAUGCAAGUCGAGCGGUAAGGUCUGCCCUUUGGGUGGGUACACGAGCGGCGAACGGGUGAGUAACACGUGAGUAAUCUGCCCCCUUCUUCGGGAUAAGCACCGGAAAUGGUGUCUAAUACCGGAUAUGACAUUCCUGCGCAUGUGGGUGUGUGGAAAGUAUUUUUUGGUGGGGAUGUGCUCGCGGCCUAUCAGCUUGAUGGUGGGUAAUGGCCUACCAUGGCGUCGACGGGUAGCCGGCCUGAGAGGGUGACCGGUCACGACUGGGACUGAGACAUGGCCCAGACUCCACGGGAGCAGCAGUGGGAAUAGUGGACAAGUGGGCGAAGCCUGAUCCGAGACAACGCCGCGUGGGGAUCGGACGGCCGUUGGUU
rnacentral:rRNA from 1 species